rnacentral:rRNA from 1 species
UACGUAGGGUGCAAGCGUUGUCCGGAAUUAUUGGGCGUAAAGAGCUCGUAGGCGGCCCGUCGCGUCGGCUGUGAAAACCCGGGGCUCAACCCCGGGCCUGCAGUCGAUACGGGCGGGCUCGAGUCCGGCAGGGGAGACUGGAAUUCCUGGUGUAGCGGUGAAAUGCGCAGAUAUCAGGAGGAACACCGGUGGCGAAGGCGGGUCUCUGGGCCGGAACUGACGCUAAGGAGCGAAAGCGUGGGGAGCGAACAGG